rnacentral:rRNA from 1 species
UACGGAGGGUGCGAGCGUUUGUCCGGAAUCACUGGGCGUAAAGGGCGCGUAGGCGCCUGGCAAGUCGGUGGUGAAAGCUCGGGGCUCAACUCCGAGCUUGCAGUCGAUACGGGCAGGCUAGAGUUCGGCAGGGGAGACUGGAAUUCUGGUGUAGCGGUGAAAUGCGCAGAUAUCAGGAGGAACACCGAUGGCGAAGGCAGGUCUCUGGGCCGAUACUGACUGAGGAGCGAAAGCGUGGGGAGCGAACAGG